AAAAAAACAAACCCUGAUUUUCGUGUCUAAUGUUUGACUGUCCGUCUUAUUUAAAAAAAUUAUGAAAAAAAUUAAAAAGAUAAGUCACGUAUAAAUUAAUAAUCAUGUUUUAUUAUCUAACAACAAUAAAAAUACUGAUUAUAGAAAAAUUUUAUAUAAAACAGACAGUCAAACGUUGACACGAAAACUCAGCGUUUGUCUUUUU
rfam:Oryza glaberrima chromosome 1 Oglab01_0215_18, whole genome shotgun sequence.